AUUGAACGCUGGCGGCAGGCCUAACACAUGCAAGUCGAGCGGAUGAGUGGAGCUUGCUCCAUGAUUCAGCGGCGGACGGGUGAGUAAUGCCUAGGAAUCUGCCUGGUAGUGGGGGACAACGUUUCGAAAGGAACGCUAAUACCGCAUACGUCCUACGGGAGAAAGCAGGGGACCUUCGGGCCUUGUGCUAUCAGAUGAGCCUAGGUCGGAUUAGCUAGUUGGUGAGGUAAAGGCUCACCAAGGCGACGAUCCGUAACUGGUCUGAGAGGAUGAUCAGUCACACUGGAACUGAGACACGGUCCAGACUCCUACGGGAGGCAGCAGUGGGGAAUAUUGGACAAUGGGCGAAAGCCUGAUCCAGCCAUGCCGCGUGUGUGAAGAAGGUCUUCGGAUUGUAAAGCACUUUAAGUUGGGAGGAAGGGCAGUAAGUUAAUACCUUGCUGUUCUGACGUUACCGACAGAAUAAGCACCGGCUAACUUCGUGCCAGCCGCCGCCGUAAAAC
rnacentral:rRNA from 1 species